rnacentral:rRNA from 1 species
UUAAAUUGAAGAGUUUGAUCAUGGCUCAGAUUGAACGCUGGCGGCAGGCCUAACACAUGCAAGUCGAACGGUAACAGGAAGAAGCUUGCUUCUUUGCUGACGAGUGGCGGACGGGUGAGUAAUGUCUGGGAAACUGCCUGAUGGAGGGGGAUAACUACUGGAAACGGUAGCUAAUACCGCAUAACGUCGCAAGACCAAAGGGGGC